rnacentral:lncRNA from 1 species
ACAUGAUCGGCGAGGUUUGUAGUCCCGUCAUAGCUCUCCAGCUGAGGAACCUUGAAGUUUGGUGGGAUAGGUUCCUAAAAAAUACUUGCCACAAAAGGUGGUUUGGAAUCGAACCCAUCGGAUGGUGUUGACGAGUUGUUGCAAAUCUAUUGGAUCUUUCGAUCCAUUUCUCGAAGUCUUCGCUCGACUUUCACAUCUUGGUUGGUAUGCGUUUCAGAGUGCGGAGGA